rnacentral:rRNA from 1 species
GACGAACGCUGGCGGCGUGCUUAACACAUGCAAGUCGAACGGGCCUGUCUUCUUUUUUGGGGGUGGGUUGAGUGGCGAACGGGUGAGUAUCACGUGAGUAACCUGCCCUUCGGUCCUGGAUAACCGCUUGAAAGGGCGGCUAAUACGGGGUGGUCCGGUUGGUCCGCAUGGGCUGGUCGGGAUAGAUUCACUGUUUUUGGUGUUUCGGCGGGGGAUGGGCUCGCGGCCUAUCAGCUUGUUGGUGGGGUGAUGGCCUACCAAGGCGGUGACGGGUAGCCGGGCUGGGGGGGGGGGCGGCCACACGGGGACUGAGAUACGGCCCAGACUCCUGCGGGAGGCAGCAGUGGGGGGUAUUGCACAAUGGGCGGAAGCCUGAUGCAGCGACGUCGCGUGAGGGAGGGAGGCCUUCGGGUUGUGAACCUCUGUUUCCGGUGGUGAAGGCCCUGUCCGUGUGGUGGGGUUGACGGUAGCCGGGGAUGAAGCGCCGGCUAACUACGUG